GUCUAUGGCCAUACCACUCUGAAUGAGCCUGAUUUUGGAAGUUAAGCAGGGUCGAUCCUGGUUAGUACUUGGAAGGAAGACCAACUGGACUUUCUAAUAGUGCAAUCAAGGCA
ensembl:rRNA 5S_rRNA 5S ribosomal RNA